AUACGGAGGAUCCGAGCGUUAUCCGGAUUUAUUGGGUUUAAAGGGUGCGCAGGCGGCCAUUUAAGUCAGCGGUUAAAUCGUGGGGCUCAACCCCAUUCUGCCGUUGAUACUGGGUGGCUUGAUUGGGGUCGAGGUUGGCGGAAUUCGUUGUGUAGCGGUGAAAUGCAUAGAUAUGACGAAGAACACCGAUUGCGUAGGCAGCUGACCAGACCGCAAAUGACGCUCAUGCACGAAAGUGCGGGGAUCGAACAGGAUUAGAUACCCUGGUAGUCCGCACAGUAAACGAUGAAUACUUGUUUUCGGCGAUAUAAUGUCGGAGGCAAAGCGAAAGCGAUAAGUAUUCCACCUGGGGAGUACGCCGGCAACGGUGAAACUCAAAUGAAUUGACGGGG
rnacentral:rRNA from 1 species